UACAGAGGUCCCAAGCGUUGUUCGGAUUCACUGGGCGUAAAGGGUGCGUAGGCGGUCGGGUAAGUCUGAUGUGAAAUCUCACAGCUUAACUGUGAAACUGCAUUGGAUACUAUCCGGCUCGAGGAAUGGAGGGGAGACUGGAAUACUUGGUGUAGCAGUGAAAUGCGUAGAUAUUCGCAAGAACACCAGUGGCGAAGGCGGCUCACUGGCCCGGUACUGACGCUGAGGUGCGAAAGCGUGGGGAGCAAACAGG
rnacentral:rRNA from 1 species